ensembl:lncRNA
GGCUAUUUUAAAAAUAAUUUUAAGACGAAGGAGACACAUUUUUUAUGAGACGAUACCAGAAAUGUUUUCAGGUCUCAUUUUUUCUGGGUUUCAAGUGAAAAAGAGGAAAUUUGAAAACUAAAUUUGCCGCUGAUUGACUUUAACUUGGAUUCAGAUUCUGGGUUGGAGCUGCUUACUGUCCAAGGUUUGCUUCUCCUCAGCUUGAGGGCUCUCUUCUAUAGAAACGUCUGGAUUCACGUCUCUAAACCAGGAUGGGGAGUGCAGACCUUCAGGCUUUCAGGCAUUUCUCCACCUUUCGGUUAAACUCAGACAUGAGUUCAGAGUCCAAACAGGAGCAGCAGGAUGAGUCUAAACCUGAUAUCCAGCCUGACUCCAACCAGGAGACACCAGAGCUGAGGAGCGGCCCCCUUCGGCUGGUCGUCAUUGUGUCUCGCAUACGGUGGCUUCACAACCGGCAUUUCUCACUGCAGAACAAGCAGCAAUUCACAAAGAAGGCAGAGCAACACAGUGGCAGCAGCACAGAGGAACUGACCAGUGAAGGUGAUGACACACUGCGUGAGCUGGAGGCCAUUCAGGCAGAGCUGGAGGAGCUGCAGGCUAAAAGGGAAGAGUUGGAGGAGCAAGAAAGGAGCUCCAAACUCAAAGUAAACGGAGGUCACCAAGGAGGCACAACUCUUUAUAAAGAUGAGACACUGACCCACGAGCCCACGAGUGAAAAAACUGGAGGUGCAGCUGAAAGACCAACUGGUGUGGUUGUUCCAGUGGACAGUCUUCGUCAAGUCGCAGAAAUCACCAAGUGUCCGUCAUGCCAAGAGGUCGUCGUCACGGAAACCCACAGCAC